GGGGGGACGCAAACAACGAAUAAAUCUUAGCAGACUGACAACAAAUUUCCCACAGGAAAGAAAAAGAAUAAAGUUAUAUCUAUUGGUUUUUAGGAGUGAGAAGCAUGCUAAGGUGAGUACAAAUUUCAGAACCAAACCUAGGAGUCAAACUUGGAUUCUCUAAUUAGUUGUGCAGGUUUGGACAGAUUCUGAGGCCUACUUUCCUCAUCUGCAAAAUGGAGACACGUGUUCCGGGAGUUUUGUGAGGUUUUAUUAAUGGAGCCCUGAUUUCCAAUCUCUCCUCCAAUUUCUCUCGCCUCAACACCUUUCCUUGAGCUUCAAGAACAGGACACUGAGGGAGCAGAGGUGAAUGGGUGACCCUCCAGGAGCUUUCACGUCUCUCUGGCUUCAGCUUUCUUAGCUCUGCGAUGCCAGGACACAGAGAAAAGAAUGCCUAGAGACUUUAUCAGCCUCUCUGUGGAGAAGGGCUGAGGCCUGCAGCCAGUGCCUUUGGCUCAACAGACAUUCCCAGAGCUCCCUGUCAUUUAAGGAAAGAAGCAACCCACUGAAAUCUCUGAAUCUUUUAAAGAAACUGAAACAAUCUCCAUGCCCAAGAAAAGGAGACUGGGUGAACUGCGAGACAUAAUACGCAAAGGCAUAGUCGUGUGAUGGAAUCAUAACUGAAGAAGAACAUUCAAUGACGUGGGCAGAUGUUCAUAAUAUACUAAUAUUGCCAUGAAACAGUAUCUAAACUACGGAUUCCUAUCUUUUUAAUAACUGAUUUAUAGGAAAGAAUAGAAGGAAAUAAAAUUUGUUAAAAAUAAAUUCUAAGUGGUAGGAAUAUGCAUAUUUAAAUUUUUAAUGUUCUAAGCCUUAUACAAUAAACAUAUAUUUUUUUUAAUUUUUAUUUUUUAGGGCCUCACCUGAGGUGUUUGGAAGUUCCCAUGCUAGGGGUCAAAUCAGAACUGGAGCUCUGGUCUACACCACAGCCACAGCAAUGCCAGCACAGCUUCUGGCAAUGCUGGAUCCUUAACCCACUGAGCAAGGCCAGGGAUGGAACCUGCAUCCUCACAGAGACUACGUUGUGUCCUUAACCCACUGAGCCACAACGGCAACUCCUAAUAUUUUUAAUAUAAAAAAUGUGUUUUGGAGUUCCUGUCGUGGCGCAGUGGUUAACGAAUCCGACUAGGAACCAGAAGGUUGCGGGUUCGAUCCCUGCCCUUGCUCAGUGGGUUAACCAUCCGGCGUUGGUGUGAGCUGUGGUGUAGGUUGCAGACGCGGCUCGGAUCCCGCGUUGCUGUGGCUCUGGCAUAGGCCGGUGGCUAUAGCUCCAAUUCGACCCCUAGCCUGGGAACCUCCAUAUGCCUCGGGAGCGGCCCAAGAAAUGGUAAAAAGACAAAAAUUAAAAAAAUAAAAAUAAAAAAAAUAAAUAAAGAAAUAAGGAGAGAAAGUGCCUCUUUGGACUUUCUGCCAAGAUUCCUCUUUUCCCUUGUUUCACAGAGUUUUCUCCUCCCCUAGAACUCCCCAACAUCACCUUGGCUCUUUUCCUGCCCUGCGUGCUCCAUGCUGAGACAUGGAGUUCCUGCGUUCCCAACCCCAGAGGCUCUGGCCCUACAGUGGGUCUGUACCCUUUUCAGCAUUCACAUCCCAACAAUUACCUCGCUGGGUGGCAGCAAGGUAAUGAAGGAAGUUCCUAUCCUAUAGCUCCUGCUGGAGGCCAGGUAGGUCUCCACUAAAUAGAGAGCAGGAAAUGGGGGGGGGGCCACUGGUCCAGACUCUUGAGAUCUUCAAACAAGAGUAUGUGUAAGUAGUUAAAACACUUUACGUGUAUCAUUACUGUGGUUGUUAAGAAUGACUACCAUUUACCGAACACUUUUCACGUGCCAGGUACAUCCCGCAUUAUCGCGAUUUCACAUCGGCCACUUAGGUACUAUCCCUACUUCACAGAGAGAGGUACAGGCUGACGUCAGACAACGUACCUAAGGUUCCCAGUGCAAAGAAGCGGCAGAUGUAAGGUGCUUCAGGGAUUGCAAAACUGUAUCAAAAUGACCUCUGUUACUCUUUGCAUUACUCUGUGAGAUAAGCACGCUAUGUUUUAACUUGUGGAAUGAAGGGACAGAUGGCUUUAAAGUCCCUUCUGAGGUUCUACAAUGGCUGAUCCCUAAGUGCAUUUCCAAUUUUGGAUUUCAACAGAGUAGCCAUGUGCUUAAUAGGUCAAUGGUGGGAGCCAAACACACACCCCUUACACUAGAUUAUGGGGAGCAGAUCUGACCCUGAAGAAGGUAGGGUAUCCACCAUACUAGAUAGAUACUCGAUACUGGCAGCAAACAACCAGAUCAUGUUAAGACAAGGAGACAAUCCCGUACAUGGGAUUCAGGACUAACUACUUUUGGAGUUUGCUGGAGGGAAGGAGGGAGCCAAGGCAGAAUAGCCUAGGUCCAUGGAGGAUGUUUUAAUGCUUGGUGGACCAGCUCAACCCUACCUGCAAAGGCUAGGGACUCUGUGUAAAUAACUAUGAAAUUAUUUUGGCCCAGGUGUAUUCCAUCAUAAAACUGUAUAUUGUUCAGGUCCUGAAUAAGAUAAUCUGCUACUAAUCUUUAAAAUACUAUAUGUGCUAAUAUUGAUUUUUUGAUAGACUCACAUAACAGAAAGAA
rnacentral:lncRNA from 1 species